rnacentral:rRNA from 1 species
CAUGGCCCUUACGGCCAGGGCUACACACGUACUACAAUGGUAGGGACAGAGGGCUGCAAGCCGGCGACGGUAAGCCAAUCCCAGAAACCCUAUCUCAGUCCGGAUUGGAGUCUGCAACUCGACUCCAUGAAGUCGGAAUCGCUAGUAAUCGCAGAUCAGCAUUGCUGCGGUGAAUACGUUCCCGGGCCUUGUACACACCGCCCGUCACACCAUGGGAGUUUGUUGCACCAGAAGCAGGUAGCUUAACCUUCGGGAGGGCGCUUGCCACGGUGUGGCCGAUGACUGGGGUGAAGUCGUAACAAGGUAGCCGUAUCGGAAGGUGCGGCUGGAUCA